rnacentral:rRNA from 1 species
AGCAGCCGCGGUAAUUCCAGCUCCAAUAGCGUAUAUUAAAGUUGUUGCAGUUAAGAAGCUCGUAGUUGAAUUUCGGGAUUGACACAUCGGUCGUGCCUUAAGGGGUAUGAACUGGUGUAGUCAAUUUCUCACCUUCUGGAGAACCGCGAUGCCCUUAAUUGGGUGUCGCGGGGAACCAGGACCUUUACUUUGAAAAAAUUGAGUGUUUAAAGCAGGCAUUUUGCUUGAAUACAUUAGCAUGGAAUAAA